rnacentral:rRNA from 1 species
GAAUCUUCCGCAAUGGACGAAAGUCUGACGGAGCAACGCCGCGUGAGCGAAGAAGGUCUUCGGAUCGUAAAGCUCUGUUGUCAGGGAAGAACAAGUACGAGAGUAACUGCUCGUACCUUGACGGUACCUGACCAGACAGCCCCGGCUAACUACGUGCCCGCAGCCGCGGUAAUCCGUAGGUGGCAAGCGUUGUCCGGAAUCAUUGGGCGUAAAGCGCGCGCAGGCGGUCCUUUAAGUCUGAUGUGAAAGCCCGCGGCUUAACCGCGGAGGGUCAUUGGAAACUGGAGGACUUGAGUGCAGAAGAGGAGAGUGGAAUUCCACGUGUAGCGGUGAAAUGCGUAGAGAUGUGGAGGAACACCAGUGGCGAAGGCGACUCUCUGGUCUGUAACUGACGCUGAGGCGCGAAAGCGUGGGGAGCAAAC